AAAAAUGUCAGCUUUCGAAAGCCAGGAAUCUUCCUGUCUUGCUAAUUGUGUCCCUAGGACAGUGCCUGGCCAAGAGCAGACACCCAGCGAGUAUUUGUGGAGAAUGAUAAUGGUGCUGCUGGCCGAUCUAUAUGCAUUCCAUGUGCCAGCCACAGUCGUAAGAAUCUUACGUACGCGAACUGAUGUCAACCUCAGAGCCGGCACCGUGAUCAAACUGCAGUACAGAGACGCUACUCAACUUGCUGAUUUCUCCCAGGCAGCUCCUCUGGAACCACACACCCCAGCGAAGUGCCUGGAUGCACGAUGAGCCUUUAUCUCCGACUCUGCUUUUUGGGAUACCCAGGCCAACACUGUGCUUGGAGCGUCCCCCAAAGAUAGAGGGCCAAGGGCUGCUCAGCAGUCCCUUCAGCACGACCUGUGGGAGAACUUUUAUAAAUACCUCCUGAAGCCGGGGGAACAUUCUAGAAGGGUGUCUGAUACCUGAAAAGUCACAUGGCCAAGAGUUCAUAACUGGCCAUCAGCUGUCAAACACUUUGUAGGGCCCAAGGAUGUGCGGGAGUGUCUCGAAGGAGCUGUGUCGGCCGGGGGCCUGAUAGGAAGAGCUGGGGGCCUGCGUGGGUUGAUGUGAAGGGGACCCUGGUGGAAAAACUGGAGGUUUUCCAUCACAGGCUCAGACCAGGGGCAAGAGUACAGCUAGUCACUGGACAGAUGGAGUCUCCUGUGUCGGGCGAAGCCAGCACAGCAGACCCUGGGGUAGAUAGAAUACAGGAAGGCUCUCCAAAAUCUACCACUUGAAAGAGAAAGUUUUCGACAUCUGCCACAGCCAGAGGAACCCUCCCUCCGACAGUGCAGACAAGAAAGCUUUCCCUGACCGCUUCCCCAUCUUCACUCCUCAACCCUGGUGAGGCCGGAGGUCACCAAGACAUGGAGGAGAAAGGGGACGAGCGAGGUGGGACAGCUGAGAAGUGACCCGUUUCCCCCCAGGGCAUCUGUGGUUGAGGGGCAGUGGGGGUGCCCAGCUCAGAAUGACCAUCGACCACAAACAACGAAGAGGACGUGAGGAUCGCUCCGGCCUGACAUUUUCCUGACCGGCUGGACUUGGAUAGUUAGGCAAGAUCAGAGGGCACGGGAAUGUGGUGGAACUCGCCCUGGAAAGAACUAGCCCCACAGAUCGGUGGGGAGAGAGGAAGAGUGGGUUUUCAGCAGCACAGCAUGAGACCGCCCGCCCCCCACCCCCUGCCCCGGUCCACUGUGUGGACCACCUGCUGGGUGGUCUCCCAUCUGCUGGAACAAACGUGGUGGGAAUGUGGGAUCCCGGACCACUCGCGCCCUGCCAGUGGCAACGUGCGCUGGUACAGCCACUGUGAAAAACAAUAUGGCAGCUGCUCAAAAAAUGAAACAUAGACUCGCUGGACGGUCCAGGAAUUCCACUUCUGGGUAUGCACCCCAACGAAUUAAAAGCAGAGACACGAGAAGAUGAUUUCUAUGCCGGUGUUCGCGGCAGCAUUAAUCACAGUGGCUAAAGCAUAGAAAUGCCCCACGCGUCCAGCGAUGGAUGAAUGGAUACAGUGGGACAUUGGAGUGUGUUCAAUCUUAAAGGGGAAGGAAACUGACACCUGCUAAGACAUGGAUAAACCUUGAGCACAACAUGCUGGCUGGAAUCACCCAAUCACGAAGGGACAGAUACUCCAUCAUUCCACUUACACGAGGCACCUGGAGUUGUCCAAUUCACAGAAACAGAAGGUAGGAUGGCAGUUGCCAGGGGCUGGCAGGGGGGUAGGGAGUUAGUGCUGAACGGGGACGGAGUGUCAGAUCUGCGGGACGAAGAGUUCUGGAGAUGGAGGGAGGUGACAGUAGCACAACAGAGCCACAGAAUGUACCCUUGAAAUGGUUAAGAUGGUAAAUUUUACGUCCGGCGUAUUUACCGGUUGCAACCACCCCCCCCCCCCCCCCCCCCCCACCGCCCCGCCGGGGGUGCGUGUACCUGGAGAACUAGGGUGUUUGUUUGCCUGAGCUGGUCCCAGACAGGCACCGUCAGUUGUGAGAACAAAACCUACCUUUUCCUAUUGUCCUAGUUUUCACAGUAAAAGUAAAUAAGUAAAAGUCUGAA